rnacentral:rRNA from 1 species
GACGAACGCUGGCGGCGUGCCUAAUACAUGCAAGUCGAGCGAAUCAAUGGGAGCUUGCUCCCUGAGAUUAGCGGCGGACGGGUGAGUAACACGUGGGUAACCUGCCUGUAAGACUGGGAUAACUUCGGGAAACCGGAGCUAAUACCGGAUACGUUCUUUUCUCGCAUGAGAAGAGAAGGAAAGAUGGUUCUGCUAUCACUUACAGAUGGACCCGCGGCGCAUUAGCUAGUUGGGGAGGUAACGGCUCACCAAGGCGACGAUGCGUAGCCGACCUGAGAGGGUGAUCAGCCACACUGGGACUGAGAGACGGCCCAGACUCCUACGGGAGGCAGCAGUAGGGAAUCUUCCGCAAUGGACGAAAGUCUGACGGGGCAACGCCGCGUGAGCGAAGAAGGCCUUCGGGUCGUAAAGCUCUGUUGUUAGGGAAGAACAAGUACGAGAGUAACUGCUCGUACCUUGACGGUACCUAACCAGAAAGCCACGGCUAACUACGUGCCAGCCGCCGCAGUAA